CAUCAGUCCCUUCGCGACGGAAAGCCGUGAACCCCGCCAGGCCCGGAAGGGAGCAACGGUAGCGGUGCAUCCGGGCGCCGAAGACCGGCGGGUGUGA
rnacentral:SRP_RNA from 1 species